UUGUACUAUCUCGAUUAUUUGCCAUUCUUGCUUUGUUGGUUUCAUAUAUUUCCUCUCCCUGCUCCUCUGUUUCCUUUGCUUCUCUCUUAUGUCCAAUAUCUGAUCUUUGUUAUUGAAAUUAUACCAGCAAUCUAUUGCAUCAUGUCCAAAUUUCAGACAGUGAUUACAAUAGAUAGGUUUCCAAUCAUAUUCAAUCAUCUGUAUUUUCAUCCCAUAGAGGGUUUCAAUCUCUAUCUGAUCAGGUAAGAAGUAAGCAGCAUCCACCUCCACCAGUAUCCUGGCAUAGGAUAUUUUUUCAUAGUGGGCUGUGUAUUUGUCUGUGUACAGAGGCUUUUCCCAUUGCACUAGCCAACUUACUUAGUGAAUCUGUCGACCAAUAUCCUACAGGUAGUCCCGGGAAUCGAAUCCACACUGGCACAGUACGUAGCAUGUCCUCUUGAAAUGAGAAAUCAAUUUCCCAGGGUUUCAGGAGAAUUGGUAUAUUUCUGUAGGUAUAUGGUCCCUCUUGAAUAACUUGAUCUCUAUCCUCUACGGAUUUAAACUUGAAGAUACAAUAACCAUCAGAGUGAAUCAGUAUUUGAGGUUUGGGUACAAAAUUCCAUACAUGCAUCACAAAAUUUUCUAUAUUCUUCUCAUAAG
rnacentral:lncRNA from 1 species